UGGGGAAUCUUGGACAAUGGGCGCAAGCCUGAUCCAGCCAUGCCGCGUGAAGGAUGAAGUAUUUCGGUAUGUAAACUUCGAAAGAAUAGGAAGAAUAAAUGACGGUACUAUUUAUAAGGUCCGGCUAACUACGUGCCAGCAGCCGCGGUAAUACGUAGGGACCAAGCGUUGUUCGGAUUUACUGGGCGUAAAGGGCGCGUAGGCGGCAUGACAAGUCACUUGUGAAAUCUCUGGGCUUAACCCAGAACGGCCAAGUGAUACUGUCGCGCUAGAGUGCAGAAGGGGCAAUCGGAAUUCUUGGCGUAGCGGUGAAAUGCGUAGAUAUCAAGAGGAACACCUGAGGUGAAGACGGGUUGCUGGGCUGACGCUGACGCUGAGGCGCGAAAGCCAGGGGAGCAAACGGGAUUAGAUACCCACGUAGUCCCUGAGCGGGCUGGCAAGGCGCAU
rnacentral:rRNA from 1 species